AACCUAGCACACCUGCGGUGUGUACCUGCGGAAGGAUCAUUACAAGUGACCCCGGUUUACCACCGGGAUGUUCAUAACCCUUUGUUGUCCGACUCUGUUGCCUCCGGGGCGACCCUGCCUUCGGGCGGGGGCUCCGGGUGGACACUUCAAACUCUUGCGUAACUUUGCAGUCUGAGUAAACUUAAUUAAUAAAUUAAAACUUUCAACAAUGGAUCU
rnacentral:misc_RNA from 1 species